UCCCCAGACAGCGUAAGCCCCCAGAGUGCCUGGGGCAGGAGUGUGGCCAUCCUCGGGGCCCCUCGGUGGGGACCACAUGUGGUUAGUGCCAGGAGCUGGCCUGGGCCUUGGCAUCCAUCCCCUCCUGGCCUCCCUGCAGAUGGAGGGACUGACCGUGCCAGGGUUCCCAGGGCUGGGUUCUGAGGGAGCUUUUUAAAGCCACUUCCUGGGCCGGAAAGAGGAGGACACCAAUUAAGUGCCUGGCUGAGGCCUGAGACCCAAAUGGCCUUGAGUCCAAUCUUUCACUUAAAGUUCAAGUUUCCAAGAACCUGUCAAAGAUGCCAAGCUGGGAUCUUUGCAGAGAUCCCUCAAUUUGGGACUCCUUCCAAAGGACACAUCUUCCAACACUGGAAGAACCUUUCAAAGAACUCCCCAAAGGAGCCCGUCCAGGACACCACGUCCCACUCAGUCUUCUCGUCUCCUUAGGCUGCUCUGGUCUGUGACAGUUUCUUACCAUUCCUUGCUUUUGAUGAACUUGACUGUUUUGGGGAGCACAGCUCAGAUGCAUUGGGAAAUGCCCUCCAAUCCGAGUAGGUCUGUGUUUCCAUCAUGGUUAGACCUGGAUGAUGGGUUUCUGUCACAUGGUAUCAGUAGAGGGUACAUGAUGCCCACGUAGCCUUGUUUUUACUUUUAGGAAAUUCUGGAAAUGUCAAU